rnacentral:rRNA from 1 species
UACAGAGGUGGCAAGCGUUGUUCGGAAUUACUGGGCGUAAAGGGCGCGUAGGCGGCCCGUCAAGUCCCGUGUGAAAGCCCCCGGCUCAACCGGGGAACGGCGCGGGAAACUAGCAGGCUUGAGUUCGGGAGAGGGAAGCGGAAUUCCGGGUGUAGCGGUGAAAUGCGUAGAGAUCGGGAGGAACACCAGUGGCGAAGGCGGCUACCUGGACCAGCACUGACACUGAGGCACGAAAGCGUGGGGAGCAAACAGG